rnacentral:rRNA from 1 species
GUGAGCAGGAAAGCAGGGGAUCGCAAGACCUUGCGCUCUGGGAGCGGCCGAUGUCGGAUUAGCUAGUUGGUGGGGUAAAGGCCUACCAAGGCGACGAUCCGUAGCGGGUCUGAGAGGAUGAUCCGCCACACUGGGACUGAGACACGGCCCAGACUCCUACGGGAGGCAGCAGUGGGGAAUUUUGGACAAUGGGCGAAAGCCUGAUCUAGCCAUGCCGCGUGAGUGAAGAAGGCCUUCGGGUUGUAAAGCUCUUUCGGUGGGGAAGAAAUUGCACGGGUUAAUACCCUGUGUAGAUGACGGUACCUGGAGAAGAAGCACCGGCUAACUACGUGCCAGCAGCCGCGGUAAUACGUAGGGUGCGAGCGUUAAUCGGAAUUACUGGGCGUAAAGCGUGCGCAGGCGGUUUUGUAAGUCAGAUGUGAAAUCCCCGGGCUCAACCUGGGAACUGCAUUUGAGACUGCAAAGCUGGAGUUUGGCAGAGGGGGGUGGAAUUCCACGUGUAGCAGUGAAAUGCGUAGAGAUGU